rnacentral:lncRNA from 1 species
GGUAUGGAUGUUGCCUCUUAUUAAUCGUAAUUUAUUUUUUAAAUAAAUUGCUCCUUAAUAAAUCACGCAAAUCCUUUGUGGCCAAAUUGGGUGACGGAAAGUGCGGUUUCUUGGUGGUAAGGGGCCCCCAGAAAAGCUGGAGAAACAACAUCAGGGUGAGAGUAAGGGCCCUCACCGUUAUGGACAUUGAAUCUCAUGUCCGAGCCGGGCUUCCCCGUGGUGAAGUGAUCGAGAGACGCCGAGAUCAGGACGAGGGUAAGGGGCCCUCGCCGUUCUGGACCUUGCUCUCUUUUGCCGUGUGUGCUUCACAGUGGGCGAAGUGUGGCCGUGUGGACACCACUUUCCGCCAUUGAUCGAAACGAAGUGUAGAUCCCCAUGCACGUGAAGCAUGGUGGUCGGGAAAAAAUUAUAAAUAGUUAAUAUGAAGUAUUUAUAGUAUGGUACAGAUGUGUGGUUUCCAGUAUGUAAUGAUGGCGUGCUGCGCAAAAGAUAUAUGGUGUCUACGAGAUACAAACACUUAUGCUACGGCUGGAUAAUCAGGGAGGCCAGGAAAAAACCUGCAGUACUGGAAAACCUGGGUAGGGCCAAGACCACCAGCAGCUCCCCACAUAGCUUUAUCUUUACAAAAUUAAGAAAUGUCAGUACCGCGCUAGACACCACUA